AAGCAUAAAAAGCAAUGGUUUUCAUGAUCAUGAUGGUGAUUUUCCCAGGGUGAGCCUCACCCAUUGCUCUCUGGGUGUGUUGACCUCUGAGAUUUCCCCAAAUGUGGGAAACUUGACUGCAUACUUUGUGGUAGUCAGGGACUGUGUUCGUGCUCUCCCCUA